UCUACAUAGGCAGGCACACAACCUAGUUGCAUCACGUUCACACCCAGGAUCACAUGAUGUUUUGAAAAGUCACAUGACCAAUUAGGAAGUGAUAAGUGUCUGCUGGUUGCAAGGCAGAUUCUCUUUGUGUUGGUGCUGGACACUGUUGUGCGUGUUGGGCUUCCUUUUCAGUGGUAAUUUCUAGAAGUGUGUGUCUACUCUUCAUGGAGGACACAGGCUUCUGCAUGGAGUUUUAAAAUGUGUUGUGAUCACCUCAUUGUGACCUGAGCUGCUGGGCUGCAUCACAACGGAAUGUUCACCUUUGUCUUCAUAUGUCAAUGAGCUGUGGGACAGUUGAGCAUACUGAAAAGUAGGCCUAUAUUUUUUAGCCAUGUUUGAGUUGACUAUGAUAUGCUGUUUAAUGAGGCUGGCAACUAACAUGAUUGUUUAUUUCCCAAAAGGGACCAGGCCAGCCACUGUUUUCUUGUGAUUAAUGUGCAUUUUUUUUAUUGUUUUGUUGGUUGGUUUGUGUGAUGUGAUUUUGCUUCUGAGCCUACCACCCAUGUGCCCUACUUGUAGUAGCAUUGUUCCUUAAACUGGUGUUAUCCGUGCUGGUGGGUCUCCUCCCUAACUAUGUCUUCUGCUUAGGCUAUCCCUGUACAAGGCCGGAUCCACACUGAUGCUUUGCCCCUUCUUGCCAAGGGACCACAUUGUUAGAGACAUUGGUUUGGGGUGUCUUUAUAACCAUAACACGGUGUGAGAUUUUUUUGUCGUGGUAUCUGAAGAUCUUGAAUGAGUGGUGCUUGCGGUGUUGCAUGCUUCUUCUGGUGCUGGGUUGCUGUCUCCUGUUUCUUUUUUUGUCUCACCAGGGUCCACCUGAGCAGGGGUUUCGCAUUGGCUGAUCCGACCUUCCUAGAUUGAGGAGAAUCCACCAAUUGUAUAGCAGUAUUUAAGAGCCAUUUUAAUAACUUUUCCACACUUUUUGUACUAAAUUGUAAUAAAUUUGAAAUACAUUUAUAUACCUGCCUCUUAUAAACUGUCCCUUUGCGGGGAAAUAUAGAGUUAGCUACACUUCAUUAAGGGAAGACUUGUGGGUCCUCCUGCCCAUCAUCAGGGGGUGGCGUAGUCAAACCAUAAAGAUUUACUCCUUGACGGGUACCACAUUUAUGGCGUAGUCGGCAGGGUCUAAAUGAGGCAUUGAUAUUUUGUUUUGUCUACAUGGUUUUG